rnacentral:rRNA from 1 species
GACGAACGCUGGCGGCGUGCCUAACACAUGCAAGUCGAACGAGGUCCAUGGAGUGGCAACACUCCGGAAGACCUAGUGGCGAACGGGGGAGUAACACGUGAGGAACUUGCCCCGGAGACCGGGAUAAGCCCCCGAAAGGGGGUCUAAUACCGGAUGUCCUCACCGAGUCGCAUGGCUUGGUGAGGAAAUGGAUUCCGCUCCGGGAGAGCCUCGCGGCCUAUCAGCUUGUUGGUGGGGUAACGGCCCACCAAGGCAUCGACGGGUAGCUGGUCUGAGAGGACGAUCAGCCACACUGGGACUGAGACACGGCCCAGACUCAUACGGGAGGCAGCAGUGGGGAAUCUUGCGAAAUGGGCGAAAGCCUGACGCAGCAACGCCGCGUGAGGGAUGAAGGCCCUCGGGUUGUAAACCGCUUUCAGUGGGGACGAACCAAGACGGUACCCACAGAAGAAGGUCCGGCCAACUACGUGCCAGCCGCCGCCGUAAGAC